GACUUCUGAAGUCCUUCCUCUAGUCACCUCCCAAGCAAGAGUCCCCGGAGGUCACACUGUUGAGACGGUGCGUGCCUGAAGAUGGCUGUCACCUCCCCAUAUGUCAUCUAGUCACUGUCCUUGGGAGGCCACAGCAUUCUGAGGACUGAUCCUAGGCAUGCGAUGGGGCUUUGCUUGAAGCUUUAGGGUCAUGUCUCCAUCCCUGGGGUCUCUGGCUGUGCUGGGGGCACUAGGGUCUUUUCAGGCCGGAAACUCGGUCCUUCGCUCCGAGCAAUUUUCUCCUGUUCCUGGAUAACUCCGCUCCC